GACAGAGGGUGCAAACGUUGUUCGGAAUCACUGGGCUUAAAGGGCGCGUAGGCGGGUGUGCAAGUCUGCGGUGAAAGCCUCCAGCUUAACUGGAGAAGUGCCGUGGAUACUGCUCAUCUUGAGGAGGGUAGGGGCAUCUGGAACGGUCGGUGGAGCGGUGAAAUGCGUUGAUAUCGACCGGAACUCCGGUGGCGAAGGCGAGGUGCUGGACCCUUUCUGACGCUGAGGCGCGAAAGCCAGGGGAGCAAACGGG
rnacentral:rRNA from 1 species